rnacentral:lncRNA from 1 species
ACGCCAUUUUGUUCCUAGUCUCUACCUCUAGUCCAGUAGAUCAAACUUAUAAAUGGGAAUAUGGGAUGAACAACCAAUUAUCAAAACUGUGCUGUUUCAAGAUAAUUGAUCUUAAGUCUCGCAUAUAUCAUCAUAAUUCAGCAGAAGAGAAACCAUGAAUCAAUCAGAUACAAGACAACUGACUGGCAAAUAUAGAGGCAGUUUUUUCCUAGUUCCAUACGCCAAUUUCUCUAGUUAACAAAAACAAAAGUCACAGAAAGCAACAAUGCAGAACAUGAACUAGAAUAAGUACUACAUCGUCAACAAUUCCGAUAUCCAAGUUCCAAUUAGUUCAUCUCUUGUAAUAAACUCUUCAUCUUCACCCUAACUGCUGCAAACAUCGAAAGAAAAGGGAGACGAAUUAUUGAACAUGUAUAAGUAACAGAUAAGUGAGUGAGCAAGAAGACCUAAGGGUCAGAGGUGCACAGUACUUAUAUUUCGCAUUUUUCUGUAUAUAAUAAUGUAAAAUCCUCACUUGCACUUUUGCAAAAAAAAAAAAAAAAAAAGAGAAGAAGAAUGGAAGAACCAUUUUAUUGUUAGAGAUCAGAUCAUUAAAAUGUCAAAAGCAAAAUAACCAAAUGAGCACAGAUCCUCCUGCCAGCCUUAGAUUCAGAAUUGAUACCUUAAGUUUCAAAUUCAUUGUCAAUUAAGGGAUUGCAUCUCAAGAAUAAUUUUGAGUUCAACCCCUUCAACGACAAGACCCCUCUUUUCUUGUGACAAUUCACAGUGGAUGAGAAAAUAAUACAUAAAACAUCACAGAGUAUCAGACACAUCCAAGAUA